rnacentral:rRNA from 1 species
CAUGUAGGCGGAUAUUUAAGUCAGAUGUGAAAACUAUGGGCUCAACCUGUAGAUUGCAUCUGAUACUGGACAUCUUGAGUAUGAGAGAGGAAAGUGGAAUUCCUAGUGUAGCGGUGAAAUGCGUAGAUAUUAGGAGGAACACCAGUGGCGAAGGCGACUUUCUGGCUCAUAACUGACGCUGAGAUGCGAAAGCGUGGGGAGCAAACA